rfam:Wallemia ichthyophaga EXF-994 unplaced genomic scaffold scaffold27, whole genome shotgun sequence.
GUCUGAUUAGUUAAAGGGUAUAACUACCGUCUUGUAAACGGUCAUUGUAUGUUCGAAUCAUGCAUCAGGCA